rnacentral:rRNA from 1 species
GACGAACCGUGCGAACGUUGUUCGGAUUCACUGGGCUUAAAGGGCGCGUAGGCGGGCGGUCAAGUCAGGGGUGAAAUCUUUCGGCUCAACCGGAAAAGUGCCUUUGAUACUGGCCGUCUCGAGGGAGGUAGGGGCAUGCGGAACUUCCGGUGGAGCGGUGAAAUGCGUAGAUAUCGGAAGGAACGCCGGUGGCGAAAGCGGCGUGCUGGACCUCUUCUGACGCUGAGGCGCGAAAGCCAGGGGAGCAAGCGGG